rnacentral:lncRNA from 1 species
GGAUAGGCUAAAAGGAUAAAAGAGUAAAAGGGUACUGCCCCCAAAGGUCGGGGUAGGAAUUUCAACUAUAGAAAUAUAUUUGUGACUGCUGUCACACCCUUCUAAAUACAAAAUAGCGGCCUAGAAAUGCAGCCUACCUAGGAUUCAGGAUAGGAUUUGGAGCGCAGCCGCAGUGUUUCCUAGCUUUGCACUGGGAGGCUAGGCUAAAAGGCUAAAAGGGUAAAAGAGCAAAUGGCAAAUGCUGACCAGCCCUCUUUUCUCUCUUUAUACUGUUACUAGGUCAUGGAGGACCACCACCCCCCACACUCUGAAGCCCACCACCACCCACCCUCCACCCUCCGCCACUGCCGCUGCCUCCUCUCCGGCAUCCAGCAACCACCUCCUGAUCCCCCACUACCAGGGAGAGGGCUUGAAGGGAGGACAGAGAGCGACUGCUGGAAUGACCAGAGGGCGAAAGGAUGAAGAUAUUUUGGGAAUGACUCGUGGUUUUACAGGAAGAGAGCAGGUACGGACUGAACACGAUUGAUUAUGAGAGAGUUGAUCUUUGUGGCAGAAGAAAAGAAACAGAGAAAAACAGGAAUUAAAAAAAAGACAAAUGAUGUAAUAAGGGGUGGUGUUAGUGUGUCUGAUUGAGAGUAAUAAUGUAAAGUAAC